UGAGGAAUUUUGCGCAAUGGGAGCAAUCCUGACGCAGCAACGCCGCGUGGGUGAUGAAGGUCUUCGGGUCGUAAAGCCCUGUCAGGUGGGAAGAAUGUCCCGGAACUGAACAGGUUUCGGGAGUGACGGUACCACCAGAGGAAGCACCGGCUAACUCCGUGCCAGCAGCCGCGGUAAUACGGAGGGUGCGAGCGUUAUUCGGAAUUACUGGGCGUAAAGCGCGUGUAGGCGGUCCUACAAGUCUGAUGUGAAAGCCCCGGGCUUAACCCGGGAAGUGCAUUGGAAACUGUGGGACUUGAGUACUGGAGAGGAUGGGGGAAUUCCCGGUGUAGAGGUGAAAUUCGUAGAGAUCGGGAGGAAUAUCAGUGGCGAAGGCGCCCAUCUGGACGGUAACUGACGCUGAGACGCGAAAGCGUGGGGAGCAAACA
rnacentral:rRNA from 1 species